rnacentral:rRNA from 1 species
AGUGAACGCUGGCGGUAGGCCCAACACAUGCAAGUCGAACGGUAGCACAGUAAGAGCUUGCUCUUACGGGUGGCGAGUGGCGGACGGGUGAGGAAUACAUCGGAAUCUACUUUUUCGUGGGGGAUAACGUAGGGAAACUUACGCUAAUACCGCAUACGACCUACGGGUGAAAGCAGGGGAUCUUCGGACCUUGCGCGAUUGAAUGAGCCGAUGUCGGAUUAGCUAGUUGGCGGGGUAAAGGCCCACCAAGGCGACGAUCCGUAGCUGGUCUGAGAGGAUGAUCAGCCACACUGGAACUGAGACACGGUCCAGACUCCUACGGGAGGCAGCAGUGGGGAAUAUUGGACAAUGGGCGCAAGCCUGAUCCAGCCAUACCGCGUGGGUGAAGAAGGCCUUCGGGUUGUAAAGCCCUUUUGUUGGGAAAGAAAAGCAGCAGGUUAAUACCCCGCUGUUCUGACGGUACCCAAAGAAUAAGCACCGGCUAACUUCGUG